AGCGAACGCUGGCGGCAGGCCUAACACAUGCAAGUCGAACGAACUCUUCGGAGUUAGUGGCGGACGGGUGAGUAACACGUGGGAACGUGCCUUUUGGUUCGGAAUAACUCAGGGAAACUUGUGCUAAUACCGAAUGUGCCCUUCGGGGGAAAGAUUUAUCGCCAUUAGAGCGGCCCGCGUCUGAUUAGCUAGUUGGUGAGGUAACGGCUCACCAAGGCGACGAUCAGUAGCUGGUCUGAGAGGAUGACCAGCCACACUGGGACUGAGACACGGCCCAGACUCCUACGGGAGGCAGCAGUAACGAAUCUUGCGCAAUGGGCGAAAGCCUGACGCAGCCAUGCCGCGUGAAUGAUGAAGGUCUUAGGAUUGUAAAAUUCUUUAACCGGGGACGAUAAUGACGGUACCCGGAGAAGAAGCCCCGGCUAACUUCGUG
rnacentral:rRNA from 1 species